AAGUCGUAACAAGGUUUCCGUAGGUGAACCUGCGGAAGGAUCAUUAAUGAAAAAAGAUUCAUCGCCCCGUUUUUGUUCGUCAAUCGGGUUCUAAUCCCACAACCGUGUCUACCUACCUUUGUUGCUUUGGCAGGCCGCCUUCGGGCGUUGGCUUUGGCUGACCGUGCCUGCCAGAGGACCCCAACUCUGUGUUUAGUUAUGUCUGAGUACUAUAUAAUAUUUUAAAACUUUCAACAACGGAUCUCUUGGUUCUG
rnacentral:misc_RNA from 1 species